rnacentral:lncRNA from 1 species
CCCUCCAUAUAUCUGAGAGAAAGAGUUUAUGGAAUUACAUUAUUAAUCCAAUUAAUCCAGAUACAUAUAAAAUGUUCAAUGUCUAAUGUCCUUCUAAAACAGUUCACAGAUCUUUUCAGUUCAUUGUCUUCACUGGCCAUCGCUAUCAUAAUUGGCACCAUUGUCUUUCACUGACCAUCAUAAUGUUUGUCUGUCAAACCAACAUCUCUGUCAGCUGUCCUGACGGGACGAGCAGCAUUUCCGUCUUUUCGCUUACAUCGUCAUUGUCUUAUGCACUGUCCAAGAAUUACUAUUGUCGUCUUCUGAUUAACUUCCUUCUCUCUACUCCUCUUCUUUGUCCUGCCUCUUUUCCUUCUUCUCUUCUCCUCCUUCCUCCCUUUUCUUCUUUGUCUAUCAGCCUUCUCUUAUAUGAUUCAUUGGUUUAUCUCGCUUGGAUGUUUUCUGAUGUCUGUUGAACUUCUGUUCUCACGGUUUGGCUCUCACAUUGUUUUCUUUCGAAGACAAUUCCCAUGUUGUUUUAG